rnacentral:rRNA from 1 species
CACGUAGGGCGCAAGCGUUGUCCGGAAUUAUUGGGCGUAAAGAGCUCGUAGGCGGUCUGUUGCGUCUGCUGUGAAAACCCGAGGCUCAACCUCGGGCCUGCAGUGGGUACGGGCAGACUAGAGUGCGGUAGGGGAGAAUGGAAUUCCUGGUGUAGCGGUGGAAUGCGCAGAUAUCAGGAGGAACACCAAUUGCGAAGGCAGCUCGCUGGGACGGUACUGACGCUGAGACGCGAAAGCGUGGGGAGCAAACAGG